rnacentral:lncRNA from 1 species
AUUCUCAGCAACCACAUGGUGUCUCACAAGCAUCUGUAAUGGGAUUUGAUGCCUUGUUUUAGCAUGAAGGCGUACAUGCAGACAGAGCACUCAUAUACAUAAAUAAAUAAAAACUUCAAAACAAAAAAGGUUUUCUCAGCCAGGAGUAGUGGUGCACACCUUUAAUCUUAGCACUUGGUAGGCAGAAGCAGAAUGGUUUGUGAGUUCAAGACCAGCUUGGUCUUCAGAACAAGUGCCAGGACAGCCAAGGAUCCACAGAGAAACCUUGUCUUGAAAAACAAAAUGCAUUUUCUCUUUGUUAUGGUGAUAGUGAAACACACUAACCUCUAUGUUUCAGAGAAAUUGGAACAGAUUCGAGAUCAGGAGCGGAAGGAGGAGACAUUCACCCCAGUGCCCAGCCCGCACUACAUGGAGAUCACCAAGCUCUUGCUGAAUCACACUCAGGAGGCAGAGGCAGGCGGAUCUUUCUGAG